rnacentral:lncRNA from 1 species
GGGAGAAGGGGCACUUUCUGAAACAUAGAUAAGAUGCCUCUUGUUUGAUUGGUAUUUUAAAAAGAGAGAGAAUGAAAAAAAAUUUCAUAAAAAAUUAUUUUUUAUAUUUUAUAAGAAGUGAAAAUUCAUUGAGGGGAUGGAUUUUGGCACUUUCAAUGAAAUAAAAAGUAGUGCUACUUUGUUCUUUCUCAAGAUACCCCUUUAAAACAACGGCUAAGAUUUUACAAAAUAUCAAUGGAU